UACGGGAGGCAGCAGUGGGGAAUAUUGCACAAUGGGGGAAACCCUGAUGCAGCGACGCCGCGUGGAGGAAGAAGGUCUUCGGAUUGUAAACUCCUGUUGUUGAGGAAGAUAAUGACGGUACUCAACAAGGAAGUGACGGCUAANUACGUGCCAGCAGCCGCGGUAAAACGUAGGUCNCAAGCGUUGUCCGGAAUUACUGGGUGUAAAGGGAGCGCAGGCGGGAAGACAAGUUGGAAGUGAAAUCCAUGGGCUCAACCCAUGAACUGCUUUCAAAACUGUUUUUCUUGAGUAGUGCAGAGGUAGGCGGAAUUCCCGGUGUAGCGGUGGAAUGCGUAGAUAUCGGGAGGAACACCAGUGGCGAAGGCGGCCUACUGGGCACCAACUGACGCUGAGGCUCGAAAGUGUGGGUAGCAAACAGGAUUAGAUACCCUGGUAGUCCACACUGUAAACGAUGAUUACUAGGUGUUGGAGGAUUGACCCCUUCAGUGCCGCAGUUAACACAAUAAGUAAUCCACCUGGGGAGUACGACCGCNNGGUUGAAACUCNAAGGAAUUGACGGACUC
rnacentral:rRNA from 1 species